AUUUCUUUAAGAUAAGUGUUUGCCAUACGAAGAUUAUUGGUCAAUAUUUGUACAACGCCACUAUCGCAAAAAACAUGCAAAUGCCCAUCUAUAACAAGAGCAGCACCAAUAGCCACACUAACAACAAAACGCCGAGACAACAACAACCCAAACUGACUGAUACGAAUGGAUGACGUUGACAGUUUUUUCGUAAUCUACCGUGCGGCCUGUCAAUUCCGCUGCCCUCAUCUCUUUCCUUUGCAAACACCAGGAUGGCAGCCGUAACACAAUUAUUUUACCCGUUAACUAUCUUCUAACAACUAUAUCAACUAAUGAAUUUUCCAAGCUUUUUGGCCAAUUUACCUGAUCCGCCACAUCUUCCGUUUUCGAAAUGUACUCGUUGGGGAUAUUCAUUUUUGUUUAUGUAUAUGGUAUUCGCUGCUUUCACGGAACUUUGGAUCAGUGGAACAAAUCCUUACGUUAUGGCUUGAGUUAAAAAGCCCUACUUUCUUUUACAAUUCCGUACUGCCUUUUUAAUAUUUAAAAUAAAAAAUGUUAACAAAAUCUCAAGAAACACGAAUCACUUAUACACGAACCACGAAAACGAGACAAA